AUUGAACGCUGGCGGCAUGCUUUACACAUGCAAGUCGGACGAGUGGCGGACGGGUGAGUAAUAUAUCGGAACGUGCCGAGUAAAGGGGGAUAACUAAUCGAAAGAUUAGCUAAUACCGCAUAUCAUCCGAUAGGCCGAGAUUGGAUUAGCUAGUUGGUGGGGUAACGGCGUACCUAGGCGACGAUCAGUAGCGGGUCUGAGAGGAUGAUCCGCCACACUGGGACUGAGACACGGCCCAGACUCCUACGGGAGGCAGCAGUGGGGAAUUUUGGACAAUGGGCGCAAGCCUGAGCGAGCCAUGCCGCGUGUAUGAAGAAGGCCUUCGGGUUGUAAAGUACUUUUGUCGGGGAGGCGGUACCGGAAGAGAAAGCCACGGCUAACUACGUGCCAGCAGCCGCGGUAAUAC
rnacentral:rRNA from 1 species